rnacentral:rRNA from 1 species
AGAGUUUGAUCAUGGCUCAGGACGAACGCUGGCGGCGCGCUUAACACAUGCAAGUCGAGCGAGAACCUGGCUUCGGCCAGGGGAAAGCGGCGAACGGGUGAGUAACACGUGGGCAACCCACCCUUGGUAUCCGGAUAGCCCGGGGAAACCCGGAUUAAUACGGAAUGGCCCAACGGCUCUUCGGGGCGGUUGGAAAAGGUAGCUUCGGCCUCCGACCAAGGACGGGCCCGCGGUGGAUUAGCUUGUUGGUGAGGUAACGGCUCACCAAGGCGACGAUCCAUAGCUGGUCUGAGAGGACGAUCAGCCACACUGGGACUGAGACACGGCCCAGACUCCUACGGGAGGCAGCAGUGGGGAAUCUUGCGCAAUGGGCGAAAGCCUGACGCAGCGACGCCGCGUGGGGGAAGAAGGCUUUCGGGUUGUAAACCCCUUUCAGGAGAGACGAAGCCACUCAGGUUAAUAGCCGAGAGGGUGACGGUACCUCCAGAAGAAGCCCCGGCUAACUACGUGCCAGCAGCCGCGGUA